AGUGAACGCUGGCGGCGUGCCUAAUACAUGCAAGUCGAACGAAGUGGCGCACGGGUGAGUAAUAUAUAGUUAAUCUGCCCUACACAGAGGCACAACAGCUGGAAACGACUGCUAAUACCUCAUAGUGUAGGAUGAGCCUAUAUCGUAUCAGCUAGUUGGUAAGGUAAUGGCUUACCAAGGCUAUGACGCGUAACUGGUCUGAGAGGAUGAUCAGUCACAUUGGAAGUGAGACAGGGGCGAAACUCAGACGGGAGGCGGCAGGAAGGAAUAUUGCGCAAUGGGGGAAACCCUGACGCAGCAACGCCGCGUGGAGGAUGACACGUGUCGGAGAGUAAACUCCUUUUAUCAGGAAAGCGGUACCUGAUGAAUAAGCACCGGCUAACUCCGUGCCAGCAGCCGCGGUAAUUC
rnacentral:rRNA from 1 species